UGAGGCGGGCUGGACCUCUCGGGGUUACAGCCUUGCUGAAUUAUUCACCCUUGUCUUUUGCGUACUUCUUGUUUCCUUGGUGGGUUCGCCCACCACUAGGACAAACAUAAACCUUUUGUAAUUGCAAUCAGCGUCAGUAACAAAUUAAUAAUUACAACUUUCAACAACGGAUCUCUUGGUUCUGGCAUCGAUGAAGAACGCAGCGAAAUGCGAUAAGUAGUGUGAAUUGCAGAAUUCAGUGAAUCAUCGAAUCUUUGAACGCACAUUGCGCCCUUUGGUAUUCCAAAGGGCAUGCCUGUUCGAGCGUCAUUUGUACCCUCAAGCUUUGCUUGGUGUUGGGCGUCUUGUCUCUAGCUUUGCUGGAGACUCGCCUUAAAGUAAUUGGCAGCCGGCCUACUGGUUUCGGAGCGCAGCACAAGUCGCACUCUCUAUCAGCAAAGGUCUAGCAUCCAUUAAGCCUUUUUUUCAACUUUUGACCUCGGAUCAGGUAGGGAUACCCGCUGAACUUAAGCAUAUCAAAAGGCCGGAGGAG
rnacentral:rRNA from 1 species